rnacentral:rRNA from 1 species
CGGCCUUGACAUACUAAGAACUUCCAGAGAUGGAUUGGUGCCUUCGGGAACUUAGAUACAGGUGCUGCAUGGCUGUCGUCAGCUCGUGUCGUGAGAUGUUGGGUUAACGUCCCGCAACGAGCGCAACCCUUUUCCUUAUUUGCCAGCGGGUCAUGCCGGGAACUUUAAGGAUACUGCCAGUGACAAACUGGAGGAAGGCGGGGACGACGUCAAGUCAUCAUGGCCCUUACGGCCAGGGCUACACACGUGCUACAAUGGUCGGUACAAAGGGUUGCUACCUCGCGAGAGGAUGCUAAUCUCAAAAAGCCGAUCGUAGUCCGGAUCGCAGUCUGCAACUCGACUGCGUGAAGUCGGAAUCGCUAGUAAUCGCGGAUCAGAAUGCCGCGGUGAAUACGUUCCCGGGCCUUGUACACACCGCCCGUCACACCAUGGGAGUUUGUUGCACCAGAAGUAGGUAGUCUAACCGCAAGGAGGACGCUUACCACGGUGUGGCCGAUGACUGGGGUGAAGUCGUAACAAGGUAAGCGUAGAUGA